AUUAAUAUGAGCGUCUUUGCGUUAAAUUCGUGCUACACCACACCAUGCACUUAUAUCGACGUCGCAAUGCAAAAGAAGAAGGGCAAGAAAGAAACCUGUCCUGGUCUGGCGAUUUAAGGGGACAUUUGUUUAAGCCUGUCUAGAUCUUUUAUCAGUCUAGAAAGAUGUUGGAGAAAAGACAUCAUCCUCUUCUAUAAUCUCCAUCUGUAAUUGGACUAACAACUGGACCAGUGAAUGCAGGCAACUUACUCUCCAUUCGACCUUGCAGGUCACACCAUGGUCUCAAGAGGGAAAAUGAGUGCUCUAUGGAUUGAACAGAAAAAGGUGAAUCAAAACUCCAACCAUCUGUAUGAGGGUCUGGAUGGAUAAAGGAUGCCCACUGGAGCUGGAAAUGAUGGAUCAGGUCAUUUUCAUUUGUCACAUUUACAAAGAAGCACACUCUAAGGAUUGCGUUACCCUGUCUGUGGCAAAUACACUAGACAAAAGUAUUGGGAGGCCUCAUUCUAAUAAACAUGUUUAUUUAUUCCAGUAUGUCCAAUCAAAACAAAUAAAAAUGCUAUACCAUAUAAUACCACUACAAAUAAUUUUGAUUUUUGUUGCAACAGUUUUGUAAGUGCCUUUUUCUGUUCCGAAAUGACAACAGCUUCUUGUACAAGUCAUUGAUAGGUUUAGGUGAUGAGUUUUUGGCUAAAAACCUUUGAGUCAUAUCAAAGGUGUUAGCUGAGUUAAGGUCUGGGGUUUAUUCAGACCAGUCAAAGUUCUUCCACACCAGACUGAAUCACUAAUUUUCUGUUUGAACCUUACUUUGUUUGUAGGGUCAUUCUUAAGUUGGUAUUGAAAAGGGCCCUGCCAAAACUCUUGCUAUAAAUUUAGCAUCAAACGGUUUUUCUAGAAUAUCAUAUGCUGUAGCAUUAAGAUUUGUGCUCAUGGAAAUAAGUAAAGUAUUUAAACCUGUUUAUUAGAAGGAGGUGUCGCAAUAGUUAUGUCUAUAUAGUUUAUGUUUAACAAGCCAAAAUAACUAGGGCUGCUUCUUUUUAAGAACUUUUGGGUAUUUUUAAAUCAGCCAGAGGAAUAACAGUCCUUAAAUGUGUAAUGUACUGCCAUAAUUUUGUAAUGAUCAAACGUGAGGUCAGAUUCUUGUUAACCUACUGUGUUCUUUCUUGAUGGUUAGCCGAGUGUCCCAGGACAGAAAAUCUGUUUCGUAUGGAUCAGAGUCAGACAUUAACAUCUAAUAUGUAAUAUCUAGUGAUAUGUUUUCUUAGAUAAUGCUGUGAACAAAUGCUCUUUUACCUUGAAUAUUAGGUGGAUCCACACUUGAACCAUCUGUAUGAUGAUCUGCACCCACUGGAUCUGUAAAUGGUGGUGCAGGUAAGUUUCACAAGUAAACAAACUCAAAUCCUAUUCAGACCAUUCAUGAUUCCAGCAAUAACCAAGUUUUUUCGUAACAAUAAGACUGCAUUUACAAUGCAAAUCUUAAUGCACAGAUCAUAUUUUUUUGACUAUAUUCAUUUUUUGUUCUGAUCUUUUUAUAUUUACAUAAGACACUAUUCAUAUCUGAUAUCGGUGUUACAAUAAUUUGCAAAACUACAGUUAAUAUGAGUGUCAUGAUUUGCACUUGAGUUUUGUAUCGACUUAAGCCAGGGUCACUGCCAAUUUAGGCAUGUUUUAAUUAUGACACUUAAACAAUUGUAUUAUGUACUUCGAUAAAGGUUUUUGCAAUCAUGGAAACACAAGUGAAUCGCAGACAGCAUUCUUCUUUUAUGAAUGUAAAAUGGCUGGAGUAGUGAUGUCACUAGCUAAAUUAAUUUUCAUUUGACCUCCCCCACAGAAAGACACAGCACAUCAUUAUAUCGUUGGCUCCGCCCACUGGUGUUCAGUCUAAAGUAGUAGUUGUUGACAAUCAUAAAGUUGUAAUAACAGUAAGAUUGUGAUGUCAGACAAACAUUGUGCUGUUGCUGGCUGUGGGAAAUUAGUGUCUUUGUAAGGGUCGCAAAUAAUUUGAAAAUAUUUAUGUUUCUAAAUAUGCCCCCCUACCAUGAACUAAACUGGACUGUUGCAGAGACCAAGUGUAGUAGGGUACACUACUAUGCAGGUGACAUUCUUUUGUUUAUUGAAGCUAUGACAAAUAAUUUGUCUGUUUAGUUAAUGUUUUAUACAGUGUAACUGUACCUAAACAUUGUUCCUAGAGGUCCUCUGCUAUUUACAUUUUGUAUGUCUUCCUUAUUUAACACACCUUAUUCAAAUCAUCAGCUCAUUAGUAGAGAUCUUCAUGAACUGAACUGAGGCUGUGUCCAAAUUUUCACACUUGUUGUCUUUGCACUAGACUACUUACAUUACGGUUUUUUUUUGUAUUUGGCCUAAGUAUUCUAGUGGGCGUGAAGAUCCCAAGCGUGCAUGUAGAAUUAUUCAUCCGAUGGAACACACUUAGCAUGGGUAAAAAUUUCAAUCCAGGUAGUGCCAGCAAUUUGCACCAAAACGUAUUUGUGUUUUAUUUACUACUUUUAAUUUAUAUUUAACAUUUUUAAGUUUUUCUGUAAAUAAAAUGAACACUCUGAAAUGAACAUUUGCUUAUAUCAAACUUUUAGAUGCAGAAUUCUUUGCUCCUGUAAAAAAGCUCUUUGUUUUGAGUAUGUAGCUUUAUUAAAGUGUAUUAUUUAUUCAGUAGUCCCUAAAUAAACUACACAAUGUUGCAGAUGUUUCACAAAAUGCAUAACAAUAAUGCAGUGAACACCAUAGAAAUGUUAACAUACAAUUAAAAGUCUCAUGCUUUACAUCCAGAACAUGAUGCACGAUAGGAUGCACAAAGUGAUAUUUGGACGCAGCCUCAGUCUGUCAAAUCAAAGAGACAUACAGAAUGCACAGAGCAGUGGGACUCCAUGAACAGAGUUGAGAACCACUGCUGUAACUCAUUAUGCUUACCUGACUCAUGCAGAAUUCUGGCCUGGUGUUUGGUCCCCCUUUCUCUGGCUUGUGUCUCCAUCAUCAUUACACUCUUGUCAGUGUAAAAGUAUCGUCGUCUGCGUACCAGGACUUUGUUACUCAGCUGUCCCUUCUCCUUCAAGCUACAUUUUUGUCAAGCUGCAACAAGUUGGAAUACAUAAUUAUUAACGUUUAAUGAUUUUGAUGUAUGAAAUAUGUAACAAAAGCAAAAAAUGUAUAGACAUUCUAUUAAGAAAUUACCUUUUUGUUGUUUGUUUACUGACCUUUCAACCAUAUUGCAUUUAUAAUUGAUCAUCAUACCUUUGGUCUACUGUUAACAGGCUACUGUAGAAAACAAAGUCAAACAAAAAAGAGAGAAAAAAUUAUAAAUGCUGAAUGUGUCUCAUCUUAAA